CAGUCAUUAGAUGAAAUGGAUGAAAUAUUUAAGUCAACACUCAUCUGGAAGGUCCCAUCAUUGUUGGGGAGAAUCUCUCCUUUCUCCACAUCAUCAUGAAUCUCCUCUCCAUCUUUCCUCCAGAACAUUUCUGCUCUGUUGGGAUAGAAACCUGUAGCGAAGCAACUGACUGGAGAGGAUGAAAACCUCUGGAG